AGUUAGCAACAACCCCCCAAAAACCCGAAGAGUAGAGUCCUGGCCCCUAGCCCUGCCAGUGUAGUAGAAAUGAUGAUGGCAGCAGCAGCCGUUCUUCUCUGCGAAACUCUCACAGCCCGAGGAGAGAGGUGGCAGUUCCUGGCCAUCUAAACUCACCGACGUGGGUCAGCUGAUCAGUGUGCUGCAUUUUGGACACAAACAGGUCCACAUUUUGACUUCUCCACCACUUAUGGAUCGUUGGCUACAACACGAGGUCAGACCAACCCUCUUCCACCUGCGGUUGACAUCUCAGAGUCUGUGACCGAUAUGACCUCCAGCAGCUUCGGACAUAGUUUCAGGUUUCAGAGUGGAGUACGGGCUCAUUGAGCAGGGACACAGCACUGGAUAGCCUGUGGUUCUUGAUGUGUCCUGCACGGCUACCUCUGUGAACAUUAAUGAGCUUCUCCCUGGUACACUGUUAAUGUCUGUGAUGUUACUGAGGGAGGCGAGGACAACCUCAUUCUUACUACCUGACAAACAACAGCACCUGAUGGUCUCAAAGAGCAUGAAGUGGAGGAAGUGGGAGAUCCAUCCAUCAUGAUCAGCUGGGAAAAACCACUGGCUGCCAUCACUGGUAAGCUAUGCUAACAUUUUCAGUCGCUGGCUACUGAACUCAUCG
ensembl:lncRNA